rnacentral:rRNA from 1 species
SKAAUACAUGCAAGUCGAGCGGAUCUUCAUUAGCUUGCUUUUGAAGAUCAGCGGCGGACGGGUGAGUAACACGUGGGCAACCUGCCUGUAAGACUGGGAUAACUUCGGGAAACCGGAGCUAAUACCGGAUAAUCCUUUCCCUCACAUGAGGGAAAGCUGAAAGACGGUUUCGGCUGUCACUUACAGAUGGGCCCGCGGCGCAUUAGCUAGUUGGUGAGGUAACGGCUCACCAAGGCAACGAUGCGUAGCCGACCUGAGAGGGUGAUCGGCCACACUGGGACUGAGACACGGCCCAGACUCCUACGGGAGGCAGCAGUAGGGAAUCUUCCGCAAUGGACGAAAGUCUGACGGAGCAACGCCGCGUGAACGAUGAAGGCUUUCGGGUCGUAAAGUUCUGUUGUCAGGGAAGAACAAGUACCGGAGUAACUGCCGGUACCUUGACGGUACCUGACCAGAAAGCCACGGCUAACUACGUGCCAGCAGCCGCGGUAAUACGUAGGUGGCAAGCGUUGUCCGGAAUUAUUGGGCGUAAAGCGCGCGCAGGCGGUUCCUUAAGUCUGAUGUGAAAGCCCCCGGCUCAACCGGGGAGGGUCAUUGGAAACUGGGGAACUUGAGUGCAGAAGAGGAGAGCGGAAUUCCACGUGUAGCGGUGAAAUGCGUAGAGAUGUGGAGGAACACCAGUGGCGAAGGCGGCUCUCUGGUCUGUAACUGACGCUGAGGCGCGAAAGCGUGGGGAGCGAACAGGAUUAGAUACCCUGGUAGUCCACGCCGUAAACGAUGAGUGCUAAGUGUUAGAGGGUUUCCGCCCUUUAGUGCUGCGGCACACGCAUUAAGCACUCCGCCGGGGGAGUACAGCCGCAAAGGUAAAACCCAGGGGGGCACCCCUGAAGCCGACACAAC